GUAGGUGGCAAGCGUUGUCCGGAAUUAUUGGGGCGUAAAGCGCGCGCAGGCGGUUCUUUAAGUCUGAUGUGAAAGCCCACGGGCUCAACCGUGGAGGGUCAUUGGAAACUGGAGAACUUGAGUACAGAAGAGGAAAGCGGAAUUCCACGUGUAGCGGUGAAAUGCGUAGAGAUGUGGAGGAACACCAGUGGCGAAGGCGGCUUUCUGGUCUGUAACUGACGCUGAGGCGCGAAAGCGUGGGGGAGCAAACAGGAUUAGAUACCCUGGUAGUCCACGCCGUAAACGAUGAGUGCUAAGUGUUAGGGGGUUUCCGCCCCUUAGUGCUGCAGCUAACGCAUUAAGCACUCCGCCUGGGGAGUACGGCCGCAAAGGCUG
rnacentral:rRNA from 1 species